rnacentral:rRNA from 1 species
AGUAAAAGUCGUAACAAGGUUUCCGUAGGUGAACCUGCGGAAGGAUCAUUAUCGUAGAGCCUCGGCUCUGUCGAGAUAGAACCCUUGCCUUUUUAAGUACCUUUCGUUUCCUCGGCAGGCUCGCCUGCCGAUGGACCCCCCAAAAAACACUUUGCAGUACCUGUAAUAGUCUGAACAACAAACAAAAAAUUAAAACUUUCAACAACGGAUCUCUUGGUUCUGGCAUCGAUGAAGAACGCAGCGAAAUGCGAUAAGUAGUGUGAAUUGCAGAAUUCAGUGAAUCAUCGAAUCUUUGAACGCACAUUGCGCCCUUUGGUAUUCCUUAGGGCAUGCCUGUUCGAGCGUCAUUUAAACCUUCAAGCUCAGCUUGGUGUUGGGUGACUGUCCGCUGCCCUCGGGUGCGGACUCGCCUCAAAAUCAUUGGCGGCCGGUACAUUGGCUUCGAGCGCAGCAGAAACGCGAACUCGGAACCGUUGUAUUGGCUCCCAGAAGCUAUCUUCAUAAUUUUGACCUCGGAUCAGGUAGGGAUACCCGCUGAACUUAAGCAUAUCAAUAAGCGGAGGA